UCUGCAGGCAGUUUGGGACCAGGAGUUCCAAACUUACAGGUGCUAACCCAUCAGGUCUUGAAAAGUUGUGAACUGUUUGUUUUUGUUUUUUGUUUUCAUUUUAUUUUGUUGUUGUUGUUUUUUUGAGACAGGGUUUCUUUGGUAGCCUUGGCUGUCCUAGACUUGCUUUGUAUGCCAGGCUGGCUUCGAACUCACAGAGAUCCACCUGCCUCUACCUCCCCAAGUGCUGGGGUUACUGGCAGGUGCUAUGGCCCCCAGCGUAAUCUGUUAAGUUUUUUAAUCUACUUUAGGAGGUCAAGCUACAUGGUGUCAUAAACUGUCAAAAUGUAAAGUAGUUUUCAAAAGAUCAAGGACUGCAUGAAUACUAAAUACUCAGGAUACUUUUGACCCAGGUUCAUUUCUGUUGCUGGGAAAAAACAUCCUGAAAAAAAAAGUAGCAUGGGAGGAAGGAUUAUUUGAUUUACAGUUACAAGUAACAGUUCAUCAUUUUGUGCAGGUCAAGGCAAGGACUCCAGUCACAUCACACCCAUAAUCAAGAGCAAAGAGGGAAAAUAUGCGUCUUUGCUUGCUUGCUUGCUCUUAGCUAACUUUCUCUUUUUUUGUACUGUUCAUGAUCCCUGCCUGGGGAAUGGUGAAGCCAACAUGGGAUGGGACUUGCUACAUCAAUCAACAAUGUUGCCUUCUUCCAUAGGAACACCCAUAACCCAACCUGAUCUGGAAAGACUCUUUUCUGAGGUGACUUCCAAGAGGAACUGGGGACAUUCUGAAGAGGGAGAUUCAGAGGAGAUUUUCCUGCUGGCCUAAGAAAAGGUGGAGCCCUUGUAAGCUGUCUGUGAAGAGGGGCAACCUCAUAGCUUCUUCCGCAUGAGCUGAAGCUCCUGCCUGUGACCACAAGAAACUAAAUUCUGCCAAGAACACAAACGUGAUCAGAGAGAAUCAUAGCCUGGCCAAAACCCAACUACUGUCCUGGAGACUCUGGGCAGAGGAUUCAUUCGAGCUGCUUGUGGACUUCCGCCCACUUCAGGGAAACUGAGGUACACAAUGUACCUUAUUUGUGCCUUGCUUUGCAGCUAUAGCAGCAUUUACUAUCUUUAAUGUUUGAAAAUCAUUGCUUUCACUUGUAGAAAAUUUCAAGGAUCUUAGAACACUUUAGCUCUCAAUGCCUUACUGUCUAGACCAGUGGUUCUCAUGACCCCUUUGAUGACCCUUUCACAAGGGUCACCUAAGACCACGGGAAAACACAUUUAUAUUGUGAUUCAUAACAGUAGCAAAAUUACGGUUAUGAAGUAGCAAUGAAAAUAAUUUUGUGGUUGGGGGUCACCACACCAUGAAGAACUGUAUUAAAGGGUCACAGCUUUAGGAAGGGUGAGAACCACUGAUUUAGUUAUAGCUAGUUUGAUAUUCUUACCCACAAAACAAACAUUACUGCCGUGAUUUUGCUUAGUAAAUUUGGUAAGAUUUAACCACAUUCACCAUAUUGCUUAUCAUUCCUCCUUUCCACCCUCUGAGUUUUGAAUAUUUUUCGUUCUUAUUCCCAUCAUUUUGAUUUUAUUUCUUUUUAAUUUAAAUUUAUUUUUAUUAUUUUAUGCAUUGCCCGUAGGUGUGUCUGCCUAUUGUCUAGGGAAACCAGAAGAGGGUGUGAGAUCCCCUGACACUGUAGUAGCAAAAGUAUGUGAACCACCAGGUGAGGGCUCAGAGCUGAACGCAGGUCCUCCGGAAGAGCAACGGGCGCUCUUAAUCACAGAGCCAUCGUUCCAUCCUCUAUUUAAAUAUUAUUAUUAUUAUUGCACGUGCCACUGUGCGCUGUGGAGAUCAAGGGCAACUUUGUGAAGUUGGUUCUCUCCUUCCAUCUCCAUGUGGGUCUGGGGAUCAAAGUGAGGUCACCAGGUUUGUAUGGCAAGCACUUGGCCAGCUGAGCCUUCUCACUCAGCUGUCAUCUUGUUUUUUAGUAACAGCAUUGUUAAAGUGGCUGGCAGUACAAUUUCUUGGAGGUUGAAUAAUGGGUCCUCCUGAAGCAGAGGCCAGCCAGUUUCCCUAUAUCAUUGCCCAGAGCCUCGAGGAGGCAAGACCACGGUGUCCGUCUUCUGGCUCUGGCCAGACCAGGGCAGAUGGCACUGGAGGUCCUCAGACUGUCUGUUCCUGAUCUCUUCUGGAAUAUUUGUAGCAAAAACAGGGAGAGGGAGCCGGAGGCUGACUGCCGCCCUCUGAGUUAGCUGUGAACUUGGAAGAGAAGGGGGGCUGCUGUCCGACUCCACUGCCUCCUCAGCGGAGAAAAAGCGGCCGGCUUUGUUUGUUUUCUCUUCUCUUCUGCAGCGCACUCUCAUGCUGUGACCUCCCUCAAGUCUUGGUUCGGAGGGUGGCUGUUUCCACAACUUUGCAGAACAAACAAGCAACAGGAAAACCAAGUCAACCUUUACAAGUUUCAAAACCGCUCUGUAUAAUUCCUGCCCCGACAAAAGACUCAAAGAUUAGGUUAUUGAGGAUCAAGAGCUAUAAUUAGGGGCCAGCAAGGUGCCUCAAGGGGUAAAUGCACUGCCAAGCCUGGCUGAGUUUGGUCCCCAGAACCCAUAAAUGGCUGGAAGGAGAAAACUGACUCCUACAAGUUUUUUUCUGACUUCCACACAUGUGUUGUAACACAAGUAUGCUCAAACACACACACAUUCAUUCACACACAUAUACUCACACACACACAUUCACUCACACAGAGACACAGACAUUUGCACACACUCAAACACACACACACACAUAUACUCAUACAUACACUCACAUACACAGUCACACACACACACAAAUGAAUUUAAUAAAAUACAUUUUAAAGAGCAAAAAUUAAUACCAUGAAUAUCUUAUUUCAGGAGAAUAUAUGAAUUUCCCUUUUGGUAAUAGUCUGCUGGGUUUGUCAGAACAGCACGCCACAGAUUGGGUGGCUUAAAUGACAGAAGUGAACUUUCUCAUGCUCUGAAGCCAGAUCAAGGAAUCCCAGAUCAAGGUGCCUGCAGGGGCGGUUUCUGGAGAGGUCUCGCCUCCCGUGCUGCAGACGAGGGGCUACUGUUUGGGGCCUGUGAGUUGUGUAAUGAUUAAUCUUGCUUGCCAAGAGUAAUGCGGAAUCAGGCUGGAAACAUCCACCUCCGGGUGCUUCUGCGGAGGAAGUUUCCAGCAAUGUUUAACAGAGACGUGGGGGCCCACCGCGCAUUUGAGCCUGUGACCUGAGGCCACAGUCUGGAUAAAAAGGGAAGGGCGGUGUUCACUCAGAUCCAGUGUGCCACGCGAGGUACUGUGUGUGUGUCCACUGCCGUUUCCAUCCGGGCGGCCUAGAAUUGUUGCUCCUUGAGCACUCUGGGAAGUGGAAACGGUAGGGAGCCCAUCUGAGCCGUGGGACUGCUGGGACUUCAUGUCGUCGUGAGGUUACAAGCAGUCCACACAGCGUAGACAAGCUUCUCCACUUCUUUGUGCGAUGUGGUUCACUGCUCCUCCAAAAACUCUCAUUCUUCCAAAAGUUCUCUGCCUGGUUGCCUGCUUCCUGGCACAAACCUGGAUCACUGCUGGGAAACAAAAGUUAAAUGGCGAGCUCACCCUCGCCUAGGCAUGGGGGCUUCCUACCGCGUGGAAAUAAACCCUCUUGCAUGCAGGGCCCUGCUUCUGGCCUGUCACUGGAGUAGGCUCGUUGCCCCUCACAGUGUCCUCAGUGUGACACACUCACAGAAUGUUGCAGACAUCACCAGGGAGCUGAACAACCCUAGUUACCCCUCUGCCACACACACACAGGCAAGGAGACUGCCAGGAAAGCUGGUUUGUUGUGUUGCUGUUGUAGAACUGUGUGGCAUUUGGAUUAUUUUAGUUUCAUUCUGUGACAAAAACACCCUGGCCAAAAGCAGUGUAGGGAUGAGAAGGGCCUGCUCGGCUUACACUUACAGGCAGAAGUCGCUCCUGCAGGGAGGAGCCAUGGAGGAGUGCUGCUUCCUGGCUCAUUCCCUGGCUUUUCUUUGGCUUGUACUUAGCUGGCCCAGAACUUCUGCUUAAGGAAUAGUGCCUUGCACCGUGGACUCUUCCCUCCCACGUCAAUUAUCAAUCAAGACAACCCUUCACAAACAUAGUCACAGCCGGGGGCCUGGUGCCUGAGGAGGCCAGGAGAGGGUGCUGGGUUCCCUGGGUCUGGAGUUACAGAUGGCUAUGAGUUGCCAUGUAAGUGCUGGGAAUUGAACCUGCGUCCUUUGGAAGAGCAGCCAGUGCUCUUAACAACCGAGCCAUUUUCCCAGCCAGAGUGAUGUAUAUAAUUUUAUGAGCUGCUAAUUUAGAGAUUUUGAGCCUUUGCAUUUGUAUUGUUGCUGUGUUUGUAUUCUUUUGGAGAUUCUCAGGACAUUCAUGAAGACAUCUGAAAAAGGAAAAGGCAUUCCCAAGACAGCCAUGUGUUUUGGGAGACCUGUAACCAAGUCAGCCAAAAACAUCGAGUCGAGUGUAAUGAAAUCCUGUGUGUUUCUGUGACUGGGUUCAAACAAGUAUCUGCCUGCUCUUAAGGACUCAACGGGACCCAAAGCAAUGUUAAGUAAGAUGAACUGUAUGAACCUGAACUAUAAAAUCUGCAGAGGAAGCUAAAUGUUGAACCGCUUAACAUUCAGGACGUAGAACCUCCGUCACAUUCUAUAAGCCCUUGAGAAAAUGCCCUUCCCGGACAGCUAAACUUAAAAAUGCCACAGCCACACUUCAUGGGCGUGGACCUGAUAAAGAUGUUAGGUGACUCAGCCUCACAGGAGCCAGAGACAGGGCGGGGCCAUCUGGGUCUCCAGUCCAGUGGCUCCUUCCUGUGCAUGGCCUCUGCCAAGAAAUGAGUCAGUCAGCAAUCUGACGAGAGAAACAUCAUUUUACUUAUUUGCUUUUCUAAUUUUCAUGGGCAUGUGGGGGUCAGAGAUAACCUACUGGAAUAAGUACUCUCCUUCAACCGUGUGGAUUCCCAGGGAUCAAGCUCAAAUCAUCAGGCUUGGCAGCAAGAAUCUUUACCCACUGAACUGUCUUGCCAGCCAAGAUGAUAAUUUUAGGGGCUACUUGGAGUUCUGUCUACUACAGUGAAAAAAAUAUUUUUCUUUCUUUCUUUCUCUGGCUUGUUUAUUUGUUUGUUUUUUGAGAUAGGGUUUCUCUGUGUAGCCCUGACUGUGUUAGAACUUGAUCUGGCUGUCUUAGACUCACUUUGUAGACCAGGCUGGCCUCAAGCUCACAUAGAUCCACCAGCCUCUGCCUCCUAAGUACUGGGAUCAAAGGGGUACACCAUCACCACUCAACAACUACAGUAAAUACUUACAAACUAAAAUUAGCUGGGCAAUAGUGGUGACACUUGCCUUUAAUCCUAGCACUUGGGAGGCAAAGGCAGGCAAAGGCCAGCCUGCUCUACAGAAUGAGUUCCAGGACAGCCAGGGCUACACAGAGAAACCCUGUCUCAAAAACAAAACAAAACAAAAACAAAAACAAACAAACAGAAAACUAGAAUUAAAUUAUUUAAUCUCCAAACUGGCUGAAGUUUUAGAAAAAAGAAGAAAAUUGUAAUGUUUAGGAAAAAGUAAGGUUAAUACUCUGAAAUAAGUAGAUAAAGAAGUCAAGCAGAAAUAUAAAAUGAUAGACAUAUGCCACAAACCACAGUUACUUUUAAAACAAAACAAAAAUGUCCUCAAAUGUACACAAAGACUAUCAAAGUGCAUUUCAAAAAAUGGUUCAAAUUCUCACUUUUGACAAAAGACACAUCUAAUGAAAAGGACAUUGAAAGUUGAAAGUAAGUCAGGCAAGUAACAUUAAUCAAACAGCAAAGAAAACUGAAUACAUUUAACCCUGUCUCCCAGUCUACACUCUUGGGUAUAUUUACAUGGCAGAUAAACUUGACAAUGUUUAUUAAGAUAUAAACAAGAGUAUUCAUAACAUCAUUAUUCAUAAUAGAAAGAACCUGAAAAGGUUCUUGAAUAUUCAUUAACAAUAUGAAUAUAUUCUGAAGUAAUAGUCUAAAGUAAAGAUGAAGAAACAAAGUCUGUGUGCAAUAUUAGGUUUACUCAAAAUGCAGCCCUGUUUUGCUGUUAUGAGGCAAGGUCCUGCUAUGUAGCUCAGGUAACCUUAAGUUCUCUCAGCAACUACAGUAAAUACUUACCUCAGCCUUCCAAUUGCUGAGGUUGUAGGUAUACUUGACUUGCAAGUUUGAAUUGAAAAAGGAAUUGCAGGUGUGUGUGUUUGUCCUACUUUGAUUUUCUGCUGUUGUGAUAAAACACUGAUCAAUAGCAAGUUGGGGGGGGUUAUUUCACUUUGUAGUCCAUCAUUAAGGAAAGCCAGGGAAGGCGUUCCAGGCAGGCUCUUGGAGGCAAGAACUGAAGCAGAGACCUUGGAGGAUACUUCUUACUGGCUUGAGCCACUACCUUUUUUAUACAGCCUUGGAAUGCUUGCCCAUGGAUGGCAUUACCCACAGUGUGUUGGGCCUUCCUACCCCAAUUAGUAACUAAGAACCACCCCCCCCCAGACAUCCCCACAGGCCAGCCUGACAGAGGAAAUUCCUCAGUUGAGGUUCCCUCUCCCCAGGUGACUCUAGUUUGUGUGAAGUUGACAAAAACUAACUAGCAUAAUAUUUAUAUAAAUUUUUAAAAAACAAUGAAAAUAAGUAAUAUAUUAUUUAAGGACUUGUUUUAACUAUCUGGGCAUGUUUAGUGUCAGCACUUGGGAGACAGAGACAGGUGGAUCUCUGUGAGUUUGAAGCCAGCCUGGGCUACAUACUGAGUUUCAUGACAGCCAUAGCUACGUAAUAGAGGGACUAUCAAAAAAACAAACAAAACAAACAAAAACCAAGGAGAAGGGAGAAAAAGAAAAACUAAAACUUUAGGGAAGGAAUGUUAAACAGCGGCUUCAGGCUAGUGGUGAGGUAUCUGGGAGAAUGGGAGGGAUGCAGGCAUGGAAGGGCAAGUAGAGGUUGGUGGUGGCAUUAGUAAUGCUCUGUUUCUUUUUUUUUCCCGACUGAUAUAUAUUUUUACACACACUCUGUUGUUUAGAUAAGAAAUGUCCCCAUAGGCUUAUGUAGUUGGAUAGUUGGUUUCCUGUAGAGGAAUUUUAAUCUAGCAACAAGGCAUCCAAAGAUCUCCCAUGCCUGUGCAAUCUGGCUGGAAUGCAGAUAUGCCGUUAGUACACAUCCCUAAUCCCUACAGUGAAGGCAAAGUUAGUUUGUAUAAGGAAACACUGGUGUUUGAAAGUGAUGUCUAAUUGAGGGGCAGAAAAAGUGACAAAUCAGAGAAAGAUUUGACAGAAUGAGUCAGAGAUAGGAUUUGCCCAACUCACACGAGAACAGAGAGGGAAGAGUGGUGACUUAAGAGAGCAGUGUGAGAGAGAGUGGGGAGGCAGUUUUACUGGGACAGUUUUACAGAGACAGGUUGUAGAGAGAACAAGCUAGGCACAGGUGAAAACAGACAAACCAAAGAAUGAGAAGGAACCAGAAGAUUAGAACAGAUUGCUAGAGUUAGUUUGAGGUCGAGCAGAGCAAUUCAAGGAGAAGCUGAGAGAAACCAGUUUGAAUCAGUCAGCUAGGAGAGGAGCUUGAGCCAAAACAGCUGAGUUGAACCAGUCAGCCAAAGUUCAGAAAGGUCUGAAAGGUUGAUUAUUCAGCAGUAAAUCUCAGAAGGUGAAAACAUCUUAGGCCUAGAUUAGAUUGUAUGGAGGCUAGAAACUUUCAGGUUAGCAGGCAGAGGCAGUAAGCCCCUGAGACAACCACAAUCUGGCGAAUGAAAGUUAUUUCUACAGUCUCCAGGUCUAUGGGCCCUUUAGGAGAUGCAACCAUGCUGCAGAAGUCUUCACUGAGGGUGGGCUUUGAGGGUUUAUAGCCUUGCCCUGCUUCCUGCUUAUUUUCUCAGCUUCCUGUUGAGAAAUAAGCUUCCUGCUUAUUGUAUGGCUUGACUCUGAUGACAUUUCACUUCCUCCUGGAUGAAAGAUGUGGUCAGGCAGUUUCCUGCUCCUGCUGCCUGCUAUGCAAUCCCUUUGUUAUGAGCUUUAACCCUCUGGAACUGUCAGCCAAAAUAAACUCUUCCUUCUGUUAGUUGCUCUUUGUCGUGGUAUUUUAUCACAGCAACAGAAGAAUAGCUACACAACACACACACUUAUAAUUUAGGAUCAUUUAUGUUUUUUAGUGAAAUUUUCCAUUCUUAAAAUGUGUCUACACAUCUACAAUUUUCUUUUAUAUAUGACCUUUUUGGAAGAGGAGGGUAUGCAGAUAGGAAUUCUUGACAUAGUUCCAGUCUCUUUUAAGAUUUUGUCUUUGAGACUGUUUCCUUGUGCAGCCCUUGCUGUCCUAGAAUUCAUUGUAUAGACCAAGCUGGCUUUGAACCCUCAGAGAUCUGUCUGCCUCUGCCUUCUGAGUGCUAGGAUUAAAGGUGUUUACCACCAUGACUAGCAACCAUUUUUUUUUUAACUUUUUGUUACAAAAUCCCUAAACACAGACAAAAUAAGACAAAACAAAGCAAAAAACUCUUGUAAACAAACCUCUCCCGAGGUAACCAUUAUUAUCAAUUUCACUAGGCUUUUGUGUACCUAUAUUUGCAGAAACAUAGACUUUAUUUUUCUGGGAGGUAUUAGUUAACACACGUGGUAGCUUUGUUUACACUUUACAAUUUCUUUUUCUUCUUAAUAAUACCUUCUAGCAAGCUCUCCUACAUAAGUACUGGGCACCAACCUGACUGUCUUUUAGCCAUUUCACAGUAUGAUGUGACUGGGAAAAUUGUUUUCCUUGACACCUCCCGUCAGGCAAAUGUGAGAUCAUGCAAUAGUAGCAAAGUUAGAUACUUUGUAGCUUGUCAUAAAAACAAACAAACAAACAAACAAACAAACCUUUAUUUUUGUGUUCAUGCAGCCUGUUUCUUGUGAGAUGACUGGGCACUCUGAAGGUUCUUCUAGCCCCCAGGACUCAGCCGGACCCAAUGACCACUACAACAAACAUUACUAGCUGCUGUGACAUAUCGGGAAGAGCUAACUUCUGGCAAUUAAGUGUCCUCCCCUUCCUCUCCCCUUCCGUUCACACAGCUCACUGGCUAAUUUAAGCCCUUGGAGGUAGGUAGGAAGCAGAUUUCUGCGGCAUCUAGAGGGAACAAACCAGGUCUGUUUGGGUAAUAGCACUAAUGACUUCCUUACCACGUAGGUAAUAUGAUGCCUUUUUCUUCUUUCUUUUUAAGAAGACUUUGUGAUUAAUUACACAUACAUGUACAUGGAUAAGUACAUGCUGGUGCAGGGGUCUGUGGAGACCUGAAGAGAGUAUCAAAUCUUUGAGUGCCUGUAAUUGAGCUUGGAUCCUUUGGAAGAAGAGCCAGUGCUCUUAACCCCCUGAGCCAUCUCUCCAGCUCAGUCUGCUCUUGUCAUUGUGCUUUCAUAGGUUUAGAACUCUCUCUCUGCUGUUUUACUCCACCUUACCCCAUGGUAUGUCUGGUUCUCAAAUGUUCAGAAGAAGUUUGUCAACACUAAUGACUGAAAAGUUUCCUGUCUUGUUAAGAAUUCUAUGCGAUGGGCUAGGGAUGCAGUUGGCAGAGUGUCUACUGAAUGCACAAAGUCCUGGGUGUGCUCUCAAACACAGCACAAACCGGGUGAGGCGGUACAUGCCUUCAGUCCCAGCACUGAAUAGAUGGAGGCAGGAAAAUCAAAUGUUUGAGGUCAUUUUCAGCUCCAUAGGAAGUUCCAGCCAGCCUGGGACACAUGAGACCCUGUCUCAAAAACUUGAAUUCUUCUUAAAACCUCCUUCAUUCUCUCAGUAACUGGCAACAUCAUCUCCCUGCUGUUUAGAUAAAAAUCAAAACAAACACAAGCUCUGUCUCAAGCCUCUGUCUUUCACCCCCAUCCAGCAAGUCCCCAUGGGCUCCUCCCAAUGUAUGGCUUGACUCUGAUGACAUUUCACUUUCUCCUGCCUCGUCUGCAGUUGCCACCACCUCCAACUAGGACAACCUUGAGAGUCCCUAGCCUCCCCGCCUCCACCUUGCCUACUCCCUUACUCCCUUCUUGCUGCAUGGCAGCCAGCAUAGGACUCAGAAGAUGUGGUUUCCCUGCUCACAACGUCCAGUGGCUUCCCAGAAGCAUCUAGAAUCAACUCCGAGCUCCUCCCUGUGGCCUACAGUUCUUGUCCAACUGACCUUCCUAAUAAUGCCUUCGCAUCUUCCCCAGAAUUCCCCUUUUUGACCACAGCCCUGCUCUUAUCUUAGCUGGCUGGGAUCAUUGCAGCAUUUAGAGCCUUUGCUCUCACUUCUGUUGUCUGUCAUAAGCCACUUUUUGUGAUACCUCCUCUGUGAGGCUCUCUCAUCAGCCUAGUCACCGGAGAGUCCCGUCUCCUGCCUGCUCUUUUUCGUCAACCAUCUUCCCCCUCAGCACUUUCCAUGAUCCGCUAGGAUAUGGUUUGUGUAUUUCCUCUCCUGCCUCCUGCUUGCCUGUGACAGGCGAUGAUCCCACAUCUCCAGAGCUUGGUAACUGGUAUGAGUAAAUGCUCUAUAAAUAUUUGCAACCAAUUAUGUUCUUAUUAGGACUGACUUUAACUCAUAAAUUAGCAGUGAACUGGUAUUUUUUUUUUGCCAUGCUUUACCUCUUCCUGUAUUCAGUUAUUUUUAAGAAUAGCUAUAAAGAUGUGUUAUUUUCUUCAUUCAGAUUCUCUGCAUGUGUUGGUGAGAAAAUGUCUACGUAAUUUAGUUAUUUUCACUACUCUGGCUGGGAGUCUUUCUCUGUUAUCAUUGGCUGAGAGGAACACUACUUCCUAUACUGAUGGGUGUGGCUGGCUGUAAUGCAAGGUCCUGGUCUGUCAUCCUAAUCUCUGGCCUUCCUAGACUGACAUGCCAUCCGUAGUUUUUUUAUAGUCCCUUGGACACAGGACUCUUUGAUGAGUCCCUUACAUUUCGGGGCUCAGUGGGUAUUAUCAAAUUUAAUGUAAAUAGUAUACUAAUGACAUUUUAAUUUAACUUUUGUUUAUUUGGGCCUGGAGAAGUGACUCAGCAGAUAAAAGCAUGCACUAUUCUUCCAGAGGACCCAGGUUUGGUUCCUCGCCAAACCAUCUGUAACUCCAGCUCUCGGGAUCUGACCUCUCUGCCUUCCUGCAUUCAUGUGCACCCCUCCCCCCCCACACAGACAUGUACACACACGCAACAUUGAAAGUAAAAUAAGCUGGGAGGUGGUGGAAUAGGCUUUUAAUCCCAGCGCUUGGGUGGCAGAGGCAGGCUGACCUCUGAGUUGGAGGCUAGACUUGCCUACAGAGUGAGUUCCAGAACAGCCUGGGCUACACAGAAAAAAUUGAAAAUGAAAAUGUCUUGUAAAAUGAAACAAAACAAAAUGUGAAAUAAAUCUUUAAAAUUUG